AGGAUGAACGCUAGCGGCAGGCUUAAUACAUGCAAGUCGUGGGGCAGCAUGGUGUAGCAAUACACUGAUGGCGACCGGCAAACGGGUGCGGAACACGUACGCAACCUUCCUUUAAGUGGAGAAUAGCCCGGGGAAACCCGGAUUAAUACUCCGUAACAUUAUGAAGUGGCAUCAUUUUAUAAUUAUAGCUCCGGCGCUUAAAGAUGGGCGUGCGCCUGAUUAGGUAGUUGGCGGGGUAACGGCCCACCAAGCCUACGAUCAGUAACUGGUGUGAGAGCACGACCAGUCACACGGGCACUGAGACACGGGCCCGACUCCUACGGGAGGCAGCAGUAAGGAAUAUUGGUCAAUGGACGCAAGUCUGAACCAGCCAUGCCGCGUGGAGGAUGAAGGUCCUCUGGAUUGUAAACUUCUUUUAUUUGGGAAGAAACCCCCGAUUUCUAUUGGGGUUGACGGUACCAGAUGAAUAAGCACCGGCUAACUCCGUGCCAGCCAGCCGCGGUAA
rnacentral:rRNA from 1 species